rnacentral:lncRNA from 1 species
AACAUCUCCGCCUGUAACCUUCAAAUGUGCACCUCUGAGGAAUAAUUGUAGCUAUCCCUAAAAUCAUGAACACAAAAACCUCCCAUGAAAAUAUAUUUCUUGAUUUUCAUCUACAAGUUAAACGCAGAGGUUGUCUGGGUCUCUAGCAAGGAAAGAGCAACCAGAGUUGGCUGGUGACCCGGCAGUUUAAGUGACCAGCAAAUGGCAGACCCUGCCUCUAAGAGGCACGCUCAGGGUGCGCUGCGGUGGAGCAAGCACGAGGCUCCGAGCGGUCGGAGCCUUGCAAUUAAGAAGUGCAACAGGCCAACCUGGGAAUAAAUCCCACCUGGCUGUCUUCUGUGUGUGCUUGGGCAACACACCCUCUAAACCCCAGCUUGCUCUUCUGCAAAAAAAAAAAAAAAAAACAGAAAGAAGAAUAAUGCUGCUAUACAUAGUGAAAGGAAAAAGAGCCCACACAGAGGUGCUAGGAGACUCCACCUAGCACCCAGGAGGGCUGGGAAAGCCACAAUUGGGGAAGCUACCACCAAGCACCUCAGUUACGUUGUAACAGCAGGGAUUUCCCAAAGCCUUACCCUGGGAAUCUCCACUGACCUUCCCAGGCUGCGGCAAUGAGGCAGGUGAUUCUCCUGACACUCAGGUGGAAGGUCCUUCAACAUCACAUCUACCUACUUACUUUCCUAAGACUGCUUUCCAAGAAUAAUGGCCUCCCUGCCUUCUCCACUCUCCAACUCUCCCUAGAGCACCUCUCUUGACAGGAACCACAUGGAGAAGGGCAUUCUGGGAAAUGUAGUUCCCCAGCUCCUCUUCCCCAGUGCAAAGGAUACCUAGCAACAGGUGCCGGUGAUGCCAGGUGGACAGCCAACAGCCCAGUGCUACCUGCCACAUUGGGCUUCUUAAAUGAAGGGAUACAGACAAAUUCUUAGCAAAGUGCUUGGCACCCGACUAAUGCUCAGGAAGUAGCAGUAGUCAUGAUUCUUUUUAUAAUUUUGAUCCUGGAACGGGUGGCUUUCCACCCAGCCGAGCACACCCACUCCUUUUAAUGUUACAGAAAAUGCUAGGCUUUGGGGUUUCUGUCAAAGAUACAUUCCCCAUCACAGUAUCACUCAGCAGGUCCUACUCAUUUCUCUUUCGGAUCCGAUUAUAAUGGCAACAUUUGUAAAUUGCUGAUCCUUUAAUUCCCCAUAAGCACACAUUCUGGCUGGAGGUAUUCAAAUCGAUUACACUGAAACACGUGAGCUAAAUUCUCUACUUCUGUAUCUCCCAGUUUUAUAUUCCAUGAUGAUUGUACCCAAAAUCACUACAAGAAGGAGGAGGAAGAGGAGGAGGAGGAGGAGGAGAAAUAAUAAUAAUAAUAUGCUACAGGUGUAUCUCUACUAUCUGUCAAUCAAGACACGAGGAAAUCCAAUAAUGGCCCCAUUUAUGAGCAAGCAGCUCUAGCUUCACAAUUGCUAUUAAUUGCUAUCACCAAACAUUUCAGAAUAAUGAGAUGUUUUCAAUCCAAAUUAAUUUUAAAAACGCAAAUUACACACAAACUUACUUCCCUGAAAUUUAAAUUCAAACUAUUCUGCAGGUAAGAAAAAAUAUAUAUAUGCUGGUAAAGAAAUCAAACUUAUUGGACUUCAAAAUUCAAAAUUCAAUUGCAGAAAUAAAAUAGCUUAUGAACCGCAAAGGCUUUGCCCAGUCGGCCCCUGCUCUGGAGCGCAAUCCAAACAUCACAUGGUCACAGGUCAGCGCUUCCUGCAAAGAAAUCCAUUUGACAAACAAACUUGGAGUAAUAGCACCCAGAUCUGUAAUGCCUUAUCCUGAUUAAUGAUGGGCCCCACACUGUCACAUCCAGGGUGACGAAGGGUAAAGCUAACAUUUUUGGGAGCAGCAUUACCUGUAAAAUUGCAAUAAUCUCUAGGGAAAAUGACCCAAUUUAAACUUAUUCUCUCUUUAGCUUGAAUUUGUUUAGCUCUUUGAAACUUGUUCUGUGUUGUUACCUGUGUCCUUCAAAGACAGGCUCCUUGAUAUUCUAUAUACCUGGCCUCUUCCAUCAGAUGUCUUCAGAGAUUUUAAAAGCAAUUUAACCCCUGGUUUACCAUAGUAUCAUUGAAGGGCACAUCAGUAUCCCAAACAAAAUCUUUGGAAGCCGACGCUUUUAAUUGGCAUGUAUUUUUAAAAUUAAUUAAUUAAUUAAUCAAUGUGCACAAAGACCUAUUUGUUCUAUCAACCCUGGUCUAGAUGCUAGGGUGAAUGAACCAGAAGUAGUCUCUGAU